rnacentral:rRNA from 1 species
UACGAAGGGGGGCUAGCGUUGUUCGGAAUUACUGGGCGUAAAGCGCGCGCAGGCGGUUUUCCAAGUCAGUGGUGAAAGCCCGGAGCUCAACUCCGGAACUGCCAUUGAAACUGUUAAAACUUGAGGACGAGAGAGGUGAGUGGAAUUCCCAGUGUAGAGGUGAAAUUCGUAGAUAUUGGGAAGGAAACACCCAGUGGCGGAAGGCGGCUCACUGGCUCGUAUCUGACGCUCAGGCGCGAUAGCGUGGGGGAUCAAACAGG